rnacentral:rRNA from 1 species
GUACACUCCUACGGGAGGCAGCAGUGGGGAAUUUUGGACAAUGGGCGAAAGCCUGAUCCAGCAAUGCCGCGUGCAGGAUGAAGGCCUUCGGGUUGUAAACUGCUUUUGUACGGAACGAAAAAGCUCCUUCUAAUACAGGGGGCCCAUGACGGUACCGUAAGAAUAAGCACCGGCUAACUACGUGCCAGCAGCCGCGGUAAUACGUAGGGUGCGAGCGUUAAUCGGAAUUACUGGGCGUAAAGCGUGCGCAGGCGGUUAUGUAAGACAGAUGUGAAAUCCCCGGGCUCAACCUGGGAACUGCAUUUGUGACUGCAUGGCUAGAGUACGGUAGAGGGGGAUGGAAUUCCGCGUGUAGCAGUGAAAUGCGUAGAUAUGCGGAGGAACACCGAUGGCGAAGGCAAUCCCCUGGACCUGUACUGACGCUCAUGCACGAAAGCGUGGGGAGCAAACAGGAUUAGAAACCCGGGUAGUCCCAUG